GUGCAUGUGUGUGUGUGUGUGUGUGUGCGCGCGCGUUGCGUGUGGGUAUGAGAGAGAACGUGUAUGGAAGUAUGAGAAUGUGUGUGUGUAUCUGUGAGCGUGUAUGAGCGCACGAGUGCAUGUGUGUGUGUGUGUGUGUGUAUAAGAAUAUUCACGAGGGAUUGAGUGCUUGGGUGCAAGUGUGUGGGAGUGUGUGUGCGCAUUUUAUGAGACAGUGUGUGUUUAUAUAUGUAGGUGAUGAAAAGUGUGUGCGUGGGUUUGAGAUUGUGUGUGCAUGU